UUUGGAGAUCUCGAGUCUUUCGUACCCAAGACAUUUCGAUCAUACUUAGACUGCAAAUCGACAGAUUUUACAAAUUGAUAUUACACAGAUGUCUGCCUUUACAGGAAAACCGGCAUAUAUGCCUACAAUUUUUUGGUCUUGUCACGGCCGUUACGUCUCUACCAAAUGGGGCACAUUCUUGAAUAUUUCAGAAUAAUUUUAUUUUGACCUUUAUAAAUUAUUAUAUCUGGAAAAAAUAUAUCUAUUUAAAGUCUAGCCAUUUCAUUUUGGGUCAUCUUUUUACAAUUUGAAUAAUUAUUCUGGAAAAAACAAAGUGCGCAAAUGAUCUAAAGGUUUGUACAAAGAUUAGUGUUCUAAACAUUCAUCAAAUGGUACAUUUAUCUGGAAAAAAUAUUUCAGUUCCAUCAUGACAAAAUACCUCAAUGGAACCCCUUUAAAUUGAAUUACACUUUUUUUUAAUGUAUGGGUAAAUUCCAUUUUCAGUGGUUGAAAUUUUUCCUCUUUUCUCAUUAAUCAAGCUAUAGUUUCCCAUUUAUAAAGCCACAGGUUUGUUUUGAAAGUUGAAAAAAAAAUCACUGCCACCUUGAUAAUUGUUAACCUGAAAAAUCUUCAGGCACUUAAAGGGAUUUGAACCCCAGACCUCUUGAUUACAAGGCAGACACACAACCAUGUCGCGAAAAAUGUCAACACAACAGCAAGACUGUUGGAAAUGAUCUAUACCUGUUCUCAAUACAUGGUUGAAGUAAUUUAUCAGUGUUUAAAUUAGACAUUUUAUAUGAUUUAACAAUUUUUGACACUACUGAUAUUCACAUUUUUUCACAAAUCUACAUGUAAAAAAUAAAGAUCAUAAUAAAAUGAUAGAACAUUUUCUAUUUUAGUGGUAAUACUGUGGAGUAAUAUGAAGAAAUAUUAUUAAUAUUUUAUUAUCAUAAAUUUUUCAAAUUUUAAUUAUGUCAUUACAUGCUGUACACAAUCAUAUUAUUGUGUAAACCAUAUAUAUACAUUGUAUAGACACAUAUAUACAUUGUAUAUACACACACUAAGAGAGUAGUAUUAGAUGAAUUUGAAAAUGAAAUCUCUAAAUUGAUAUUUUCAGGGAAAUAAAAGAUCAUUUACUUUAAUAUUCACUUGGAAAGGCUGGUACAUGUAGCUAGAAAAAAAGUACAGUAUAAGAUUAAACAAAGACUAGAAGAUUAUUACAAACAACAGGUGGACAUGUGUCACUGUCAAGCGAAUGAAGAUAAGCAUCACACUCGGUGGGAAUCUCCAGUUUCCAGAUGUAGUGAUCAUAAACUGUAUAGGCACCAUUAACACUUUGGACUAGUUGGAGUAUUUUAGAGGGCUAGUCUGAAUUGAAUCCCCUGUCAAUAGUAAAGGCCAGUCAUGAACAUUGUGUUAAAGGAAAAUGUUAAAACUCGGAUUUCCCGCUUAACCAAUCAUUACUUUACCUUAUAUUCAGUGCGGUAAUGUAGGAAAUGGUUACUUUCUGGAACGGAGCUGUCAAUUAUUUUUAAUUUUUUAGCUUGUUAGUGUUAUCGUCGGACAGUUGUGAAGUAAAGACAUCGCAGUUUGACUGUAUAAAAGUUGCCUUAAAGAAAGUAUGUCGAAAUCUUAACAGUUAUUCGUUGAUUUUGUAGAAAUUGACCAGAAUUCACCUUUGUUUACACGCAUUGCUUGGACGUCGAAAACGACAUGCAAUGACAUUUCAGUGAAAUUUGGAAACUUGCUCGUAUUUUGGAGCAUUUUGUAGGAUUUCGAUGAAGUAAAGUGUUUAUGAUAGGAUACAUUAUUCCUAGAGACAACCACAAAAAUAAAAUAGUGAUCUGGUGUAUUUUUACCGAACAGUUCUUGUUUGUUUUGCAUGAUAUUUUUCUCUCGUUAGGGACCUUUAUUCUUUAUAUAUAGUAUUAUGAGCGUAUAUGGGUAAAUGUGGUAUAUAGUGCCUGUGGUUUUAACAUGUAUCUUAGCUUGCCUGGUGUAAUGAUAAGUAAUAAACCUGAGAAUUGAAACUAUGAGAAUAAA